GUGGGGAAUCUUAGACAAUGGGGGAAACCCUGAUCUAGCCAUGCCGCGUGAGCGAUGAAGGCCUUAGGGUUGUAAAGCUCUUUCAGCUGGGAAGAUAAUGACUGUACCAGCAGAAGAAGCCCCGGCUAACUCCGUGCCAGCAGCCGCGGUAAUACGGAGGGGGCUAGCGUUGUUCGGAAUUACUGGGCGUAAAGCGCACGUAGGCGGACCGGAAAGUCAGAGGUGAAAUCCCAGGGCUCAACCUUGGAACUGCCUUUGAAACUCCUGGUCUUGAGGUCGAGAGAGGUGAGUGGAAUUCCGAGUGUAGAGGUGAAAUUCGUAGAUAUUCGGAGGAACACCAGUGGCGAAGGCGGCUCACUGGCUCGAUACUGACGCUGAGGUGCGAAAGCGUGGGGAGCAAACAGGAUUAGAAACCCUUGUAGUC
rnacentral:rRNA from 1 species